UACGUAGGGACCGAGCGUUGUCCGGAAUCAUUGGGCGUAAAGAGCGUGUAGGCGGCUCGCUAAGUCUUGCGUGAAAUCUCGGGGCUCAACCCCGAGCGGUCGUGAGAAACUGGCGGGCUAGAGUGCGGGAGAGGAGAGUGGAAUUCCUGGUGUAGCGGUGGAAUGCGCAGAUAUCAGGAAGAACACCCGUGGCGAAGGCGGCUCUCUGGGACGGUAUUGACGCUGAGACGCGAAAGCGUGGGGAGCGAACAGG
rnacentral:rRNA from 1 species